rnacentral:misc_RNA from 1 species
GUGAAUCAUCAAAUCUUUGAACGCAAAUUGCGCCUUUUUCUGUAGGCAUGUCUGUUUGAGGUCACCAUUUAACAAAUAAUGUGCAGCGUUUUUUGUAUAUAUGACGUGCACACGUUGAUGAGCUUUCCAUGAAUUUUAAAUUUUUGGUGGCGCAUAAUGAACAGCGUGAAGCUUUUUUUCAGUUCGAAUGUAGUAAAAUUUUUUCUUGUUUGGGUUGUGAAAAGCGUGAUCGCGCU